rnacentral:rRNA from 1 species
CCCUUAGAUGUUCUGGGCUGCACGCGCGCUACACUGAAGCGUUCAACGAGUAUUCACCUUGCCCGGGAGGGUUGGGUAAUCUUUUCAAAACGCUUCGUGAUGGGGAUAGAUUAUUGCAAUUAUUAAUCUUCAACGAGGAAUUCCUAGUAAGCGCGAGUCAUCAGCUCGUGCUGAUUACGUCCCUGCCCUUUGUACACACCGCCCGUCGCUCCUACCGAUUGAAUGAUCCGGUGAACCCCUCGGAUUGGUCAGACCAGUUGGCGGGGCAACUCGUCAGCUUCUGGCCGAGAAGUUGGGUAAACCUUAUCAUUUAGAGGAAGGAGAAGUCGUAACA